rnacentral:rRNA from 1 species
AGAGUUUGAUCAUGGCUCAGGACGAACGCUGGCGGCGUGCCUAAUACAUGCAAGUCGAGCGGACCGGGCGGGAGCACGCUUCCGCAUGGUUAGCGGCGGAUGGGUGAGUAACACGUGGGUAACCUGCCCGUAAGACCGGGAUAACUCCGGGAAACCGGGGCUAAUACCGGAUAACACCGAAGACCGCAUGGUCUUCGGUUGAAAGGCGGCUUCGGCUGCCACUUACGGAUGGGCCCGCGGCGCAUUAGCUAGUUGGUGAGGUAACGGCUCACCAAGGCGACGAUGNCGUAGCCGGCCUGAGAGGGUGACCGGCCACACUGGGACUGAGACACGGCCCAGACUCCUACGGGAGGCAGCAGUAGGGAAUCUUCCGCAAUGGACGAAAGUCUGACGGAGCGACGCCGCGUGAGCGAAGAAGGUCUUCGGAUCGUAAAGCUCNGUUGUUAGGGAAGAAGAAGUGCCGUUCGAACAGGG